GGGGACAGGAGGUUGCAGAGCUGUCUCCUCACCACAGGAUGGGUGCCUCAAGGGCCAAGAGACUCUGGAACAGUUUCUUGGCUCAGACUGUCCUGUGAGCUCUACUCAGCAGCAAGACUGCAGACAUCAUGCCCUGCAAACCAUUCUCCUCAAAGGGGUCGCCUGAGUU